CAAAAAUGGCAAAAUCGGAUGAUAUCCGUACCACGGAAAAAUGGUGACUGCAUUGGUGACUUCAUUUUGUUGGAACCCGAGGUAAGGCAUUUUCUAUCAGUGAUGUCACAGGUUUGUUUUGUCCAUCUACAUUUAUAUCAAUGGCCCGAACUCCCUGCAAGCUCAGAAAGAACCAACAGAACCAAACCGGGUCUGCAACUGUCUGGAACAUCUAUUCUGCGAAUGGUUUGGUUCAUUAAGGUUCUGUGCCGUCAAAAAUCAAGUACACCCUACCAAAGAGGUCUCAAGACGUAGUAUUCGACUACUUUGACUCUACACAUAGACUGUAUAUCCCCGCCCUCCUGGCACUCUAAACAGAAGUACUUCCUGGUUCGGAGACGGUAGCUCUGGUACCUUUUUUUUAAACAUCUUCCUAUUUUUUUUCAUUACAUUUUUUUCUUUAUCGCAAGUUAUUCAAGUUAUAAACUAACCAAUCAGAUGCCUCAGUAAAUGCAUGUGGUGCCCACUAGCCUCACCUACAACAUUUGAUUGACAGAUUCUCCUGAACCGCUUUCAGUAGAAGGGGUGUGGACUUCAAACAAGCUCACUCAGUAGUUGCCAGAGAAACGUCUAAUUGUCGACUGGCUCCAAAAGGCAGCGCCCAUAUUGUGGAAAAAUGGCGGGUGAUUUGGCUUCGUUUCACUGGAGCCGGAGGUAAGACAAUUUCUAUGGGUGACAUCACACGCGCUCUGCAGUCUACUACUUCAGCAACAUUUUUGAAAACUCUCAACAGUAGAUUUUCUCAGAUUCUGUAGCGCCCUCUAGAGGCAGCUGAUGCAACAGAUCAGUCUCAGUGGGUUCUGAAGUUCUAACUUGACCCAGUUUUGUCUGGAAGCAGCUCAAAAGCAGAAUAUGUUAACUUUUAUUUCCCACAGGAAGACAGAGGCAGAAAGACAGAGCUUCAAAAGAUUCAGAGGCUUCAGGAGCUAGUUUUUGAUAAACUUAUUUAGAAGUCCGCUCCACUAAUUUAAAGCUACAUCUCUAAAAUAUUUUCUUUUUUCAUGUGAUCAUUUUUUUUUUAACUUUUUAAGUAACACACAGCACAGCAGGUGCAGGUUCCUCACAUCAGAGUUCGUGUUAGCUUCAUCAGUGUUACGCACAGAACCAGACAGAACCUGCACCUGAGAAGCCCAGGUACCAUCUGUGAUCAGGUGAUUUCUGCACCAGAAACUGACUCAUUGACCCAAACAGAACCUCAUGAAAACCAGUAAAGAACCUGAAUUUAUGAUCAAAGACUUUAAAAGGAGAUGAACUUCCAGAUCAAAGCCAAAACCGCUUUCAAAAGCCAAAACCGUGUCAUUUUAAUCAAAAAUAUAAACAAAGGAGCCUUCAUCUGUUUGCAGAUACAAUCUUUGGAAGCAGGUGAGCAUAAAUAAACUUAAAGAUUCAUCAAACUAUUUUUACUUAAACCUUUAAAUAUUUGAAAACAAUUUUUCUUCCCCAAAUGAGAUUAAUUUGGAUGAAUAGAAAUGUACUGGCGAUAAAAGAGUCGGGUCAGUACCGGCCCCACACAGCUCCAGAUAUCUCAGAGAACUAUUCAGAACAGGUGAUUUAUUGUGAAAAUAUUUCAUUUAAAAUAGAGUUGCUCAACAGUACUGGACGAGCCCUGAUCAAAGGUUCAGGCAAUCGUGAAGUCAUGAAAUCCUCCACAGCAGCAGGUUUUUAAUCACUCCUGUCACCUGUUCACACCUGGUUCCUUAACGUCAGAGAGUCUUUGGACUCUAGCGAGUCCCUCAAAGACCUGUUAGACCUGUUAAAUAGAACACUGAACUUUAUGAUCCAAACGUGACAGUCCUGUUUAGAUCAACAAAGUUUGAGGUGAAAGUUCACCUGUGAACAGAAUCCAGACCCGCCUGAGUCGGUUCCUGACCCAGAAGGAAUUCCUGCUUGUUUGUGUUUUGAGCAGGUGCCCCCCACACCCCCUCCGGUGGGGUAAUCCCUCUGCUGGAGGGGGGGUCAGCAGGUCGGUGCGGGGUGGGGGUUGUUUGUGUCCUGCAGCGCCCCCCCUCCCCUGUCUAAAAAGUUUUCACACCUCUAUUGUCACGCUAAUGCUCUCAUCAGACCGGUUCUAGGAUCUGGUUCUGCUGCUCUGGCUUCCUUAAAGUUCUGACUUUUCAGAAAAAAGUUCUGUUGGGUCACAGCCCCCCUCUCCCGCACUCACCGCCGCCGCAGAUCCCCGCCGGAGCCCGCAAGCACACCACCAGGCUCCACAGCAGCAGCCUCAUCUUCACGCCUCAGAGCCGCGCUCACGUGACCGAGCGAGGGUCGGCUCGGUUCGGUCCGGUCCACCGUUACCAAAGUGCCAUGGUCCCACAGGAACGGAACCAUCAGAGCAGAACCGGUACCACGUCGAAAAAUGAGGGGGGCUUCGCUCACGUCACCCACCCGGGAGCAGCGGGGCGGGGCGACCUCUGAGCGGGGGAGGGGUUAGCCGGCUCGUCAUCAUUGAAGGCGGGGCGAACCUUCGAUCACUUCCUGUUUCGAAAGUGCUGAUUCAGAAUCAAAAAACAGCAAAAUGGCAUUAAAAACACAAAUAAAGCUGACAUGUUUUGUUUUUGUUCUUAAGUAUGAAUAUAUUUAAGUAUUUAAACACAUAUUUAACUUUUUUCUCUGCUUUAUUUUUACAUUUACUUUAAAAUGUAUUCAGUUCUGCUGCUGUCCUGGACCAAAGGAGCAGAUUGUUUUAGUUAUUUUUCUUUCUUUUUACAACUUUGAGAGAAACUUUUCCAUUGAUGAGGAAGAAAGUGACCAAAAAAUAAGAAUUUAGUCAUUUUGAUAAAAAGUUGGACCAGACUCGUACUGUCCCAUGAAAGACAAAAUCCUGUAAAAUGGACUCCACAAAUAUUGUCCUCGAGUCGGGUCAUGGGUAGCACUAGCUGCAGGUCAAUGUUUGUCAGGACAGUUGAACCCACCAUGGUCUUAAAUACCUUAAAUGGUCAUAUUCACCAAACCUACGUCUUGAGUGGUCGUGUCCAUGUUCCUGCUCCUGCUAAAAAGGUCAUUUAUAGCUUUGAUUUUUCAGUGGAAAACUACUUAUAAGGUUUUUGAAGGUUAACUGAUUUCCACUGGUUUGGAGCUCCAUGUGGGUUAAUAUAACAAUUCAUUCAGUCAAUUUGUUAGUAACAAGCUAUGAAAAAAAAACCUUCAUGUAACACAGUGUAAAAGUAGAAAAAAACCCUUCAUUUGGUAUCAAAACCCUUCACAACACAAACUCAAAGACUCACUCCAAGAGCGUCAGUAUGGUGAGCUCUCAAAAGUAGCGUUACCCUCCACUGCUUGCAUAUUUUUUACAGGAAUAUUUUGAAAAUAAAAUAAGUGAAUCGUUAAGUCAAACUGAACAAAAAGAUAUAACAUACGGUAUAAACAUAUAAGGAAUGUGGGUGUGGCUAACAAAAAACCUCUGUUGCUAAGGAAAUCCAAAAAUAUACUUUUGUCAAUACUUUUAAAAAUUACAUAUAUCUGUGCAUCAGACCCAGGCGACUGAAAUAUAAAGUGGUUGCUAUGGAAAUAAAAUGUGUUUUUUCUUUUUAAAUGAUUUUUUUAAGUGAGGGGUGUAAGGGGGAGGAGCUUGUUGCUUUUAUUUUUGACGUUACCUCCACAUUUACCAAUUUUGUUUGUUAUUCAUGUUUGUUUGUAAAUGAAUAAAUGUAAAAGACAAAUAUAUGAGCGUUUCUGUGCAGAUAUCUAAACUCAUUUAUAUUUGAGAACAUUUGUUUUUCAGCUCAGAAACAUCUUGUUCAAUCAGAGAACGACAGGAAUAUUUUGGAUUUCCAUAAAGCUGAAGUUCAUCUGAUGCUUGACUUUUCUGGCCGAGCCACAGCGGAACCAGAUGUGGAGAACCUGAGUUUCCUCAGAACUUCUGAGAAUAAUCACUGAGCAGCGGUCAGGUUAUCAUGCACUCAUCUUUAAUGCAGCUCUAAAACCAGCAGGAACAGUCCCUUCAUUUACCCGGCUAAAAGGUUAAAGCAGGAAAUGACAGAAAAGUGGAGUUCAAAACCAAAAAAACAUCAGAAGAUCUGGACCACAUCCAGAAGAGAGACAGCUGAACCUCAGAAGGAGAUCCGUGUGAAGAGCACCUCCUCUGAGCCGAGGAGUUCGAAGGUCUCACAGAUUUAAGAUGCGUAUGCAAAAACUCCUGUUGGUUCUAGUAAAUACGUAGUGAGUGUUCUGCUCCGGCACAGGUCAAACCAGAACCUUCAGGCAGACCGAAGUCCAGCCCGAACAGCAGGCUUCAGUGCUUACUUUAACCAGAACCGAACCCACAGGAAGCCGACAGCCUCGCCACAGGUGAGUCUGCAGAACCUGCGUUCUUCAACAUCCCGACUACCACAGAACCCAACGCCGUUUCUCCUGGUUCCGUGUGCACCUCUAGUUUCCCCACUCCCGAGGUUCUGCUGGGUUCUAAAGCAUUCCUGUCUACGGUGUGAUCUGCUGCCUGGAGGUUUAAUGCUUUCGUCCGUCACUGAACGACCGAUAAAGGUGAGAAGCUGUUAAACUGGAGCUGGUUCUGCCUGCAGGUGGAGAUGGGCGGAGCUUCAGGCAAACUUCUUCUUGGUGGCCGUGAAUCGUUCCAUGUACUGAGGACAAACAGAGAAGCGUUAGGAACCGGUAGACGGAGACGGGAGGAACUAGUGGACGGUGGACCGACCUUCUCAUAUCCCUCGAGUUCUCUGAGGUUCUUCACCUCGAACAGGUUUCCCUCCACAGAGAGCAGCGACACCUGAGAGUCGCUCAGGAUGGCAUGAGGGAUGGAGUUCAGCUCCAGACAGUUCUCCUCCAGACGGAGGACCUUCAGACGGGGACACCGCGAUAUCUCCGGGGACAGACCCGAGAUCUGGAAAACAGUUUUGUUAGGAAGUUCUUAAGUCCAGAGAAACCCCUGGGAUACUCAAGGAGACAGACCUGGUUCUGGUUCAGGUUGAUCUCGAUGGCCUGCAGAUCCGACACCUCCGGCGGGACGCUGUGAAUGUGGUUACGGGACAGAUCCAGCAUGUCCAGCUGACGCAGCGUUCCCAGUCCCAAGGGGAACUCAGAGAUCUGGUUCCCGGACAGGUUGAGGGUCCGCAGAGCUUUGAGCUGACCCAGAGUAGGAGGUAGCCGCUCGAUCCGGUUCCCGCUCAGGCAGAGGGUCUCCAGCUUCUUCAGCUUCCCCAUCUCACUGGGAAGAGCGGCUGGAGACAAAGACGAGGCGGGUGUUAGAAGACGGAAGGACAGAAGGAACCGUGACGGACAGUCCGGAACUCACUCAGCCGGUUGGAGUUCAGAGUCAGACUCUUCAGCUGCAGGAAAUUUCCGAUGGAAGCAGGAAGAGCCUCGAUCUUGUUACCCGACAGAUCUACGGUUCUUAGGUUGGCUGUGAGUCUCUGCAGUUCCUCUGGAAACUGAAUCGGAUCAGACAGAAGAACACGUCAUGGACACUCAGAACGACGCAGAGAACUUCAGAAUUUAUGAGUCUGGUGGAAAUUGAGGCUUAGAUGUAUCGGGUUCUGGAUCCCUGAGGUUUUGUGGAGCUUGGUGGAUAAGUGACCCACUUGAUCACAGGUCAGAGGAACCAGCAAACCCUUUGAAUGUGACAGUCAUAUUCUGAUCACAGUUUGAUCCAGAGAACCUGAUGAUCGUGUAGACUGUGCUUUUUGUGGGUUCUGGUGGUUUUGCUGCUUGUGUUUCAAAACUAUGUGUAGAUCGGAUCACAGUUGGCCUCUAAAGUUGACCAUCUGAGGAUCUCCAUCCCCCUCCCCCUUGGCUCACCUCCUGCAGCCCCUUGGCCGUCAGCUGGAACACCCCCGUCUUCUGGGAGGUCUCCAGGUGAGACUUGAGCGCGCUGUUCCCCAUCUGGACCUUCAACCUGUCCUUGUCUACAGCAGCAGGGAGGUGCUCAUGUCCACCACUUCAGAGCGCCCCUCCUCCAGAGAGAAGGUCCUGGACCUUUGAAGAAAUAAAGACAGAGGAUGGAGGACCUUCAUGCAGGAGGAGAAAACACACAAGUGGGUUUGAGUCAAACUAAAAACCAUUUCAAAAGAUCUGGUUUUUGAAAAGCCUGACAAACGUCUUGGGUAGUCAAUUGCCAAAUGUUGGGUUCCAUCUAUAUGCAGAUGAUGCUGUCAUCUACACAACUGUCUCUAUUAGCAAUAAAUGAGCUCCAGAGUGA